rnacentral:rRNA from 1 species
AGUCGAGGGGCAGCGGGGGUGAUGGCUUGCCAUCGCCUGCCGGCGACCGGCGCACGGGUGAGUAACACGUAUGCAACCUGCCCGCCACAGGGGGAUAAGCGGAAGAAAUUCCGUCUAAUACCGCGUGACGCGGCGCCGGGGCAUCCCGGUGCCGCCAAAGGGAUUACCGGUGGCGGAUGGGCAUGCGGCGCAUUAGCUAGUCGGCGGGGUAACGGCCCACCGAGGCGACGAUGCGUAGGGGUUCUGAGAGGAAGGUCCCCCACACUGGUACUGAGACACGGACCAGACUCCUACGGGAGGCAGCAGUGAGGAAUAUUGGUCAAUGGGCGGGAGCCUGAACCAGCCAAGUCGCGUGAGGGAUGACGGUCCUACGGAUUGUAAACCUCUUUUGCCGGGGAGCAAGCGUGCGUUCGUGAACGCACGUCUAGAGUACCCGGAGAAAAAGCAUUCGGCUAACUCCGUGCCAGCAGCCGCGGUAAUACGGAGGAUGCGAGCGUUAUCCGG